AAAUCCUAUGAGAUACCUACAUGAAUAAAGAUCAAGAUGGCUAGGAACAAAAGGAAGGAGUACAAAGUUGAUUUUUUUGACCAAGGUUAAACUAAGACAUGUUUUUUUAAAAAAAUACUAGGAACCAUUUAUGGACUUCUUGCUGGCAUCCAGAUUGAAAUGUUUAUGGAGUUGCAUAUGACUUAAGGGAAGAAGAGAUGCUUAAUUAGCCUUGACUCCUAAUAACUACAUGGACAAGUCUGCACAAUUUUCUUGACAAUGUUUUCAGAAGUGUUUGCCCUUGCCUUCUUCCUAGUGGCUGACCAAGCUGGCUUCUGUACUUAAGGGUGCAAUGUGGGAGCCUCAGAAUCAUUCCUCAUCGUGACCAGCUGAUGGUGAUCAAGAGCUUUUUGCUAAAUGUGCAAUAAUAAAAUGACAAAUACAUGAUCCCCCUGAGCUUUUAUAUUCAGAGCUGAUAUAAGCUGUAUUUAUUUAUUUAUUUUAGAAAAAAAAACAUCAUUCAAAUGAGUAAACGGCUGGAUAU